UACGGAGGGUGCAAGCGUUAUCCGGAUUCACUGGGUUUAAAGGGUGCGUAGGUGGGCAGGUAAGUCAGUGGUGAAAUCUUUGGGCUUAACCCGAAAACUGCCGUUGAUACUAUCUGUCUUGAAUAUAGUGGAGGUGAGCGGAAUAUGUCAUGUAGCGGUGAAAUGCUUAGAUAUGACAUAGAACACCCAUUGCGAAGGCAGCUCGCUACACUAUUAUUGACACUUGAGGCACGAAAGCGUGGGGAUCAAA
rnacentral:rRNA from 1 species